AAUUACAAGGUUGUGCCCUGAACCCAAUUGUAGAGGUCAACCCACUAGUGAGUGGAAAAUAGAGGGAGAGAAGGGCAGAUUGAGAAAGAGAAACAUCCCCAUUGGCUACCCACUGGAACACACUGCAACUCGCUAUUGCUACCACCCAAUAACCAAACCACCAUAUUCCAUCAUCACUGCAAUCUAUCACCAUUACCCCCACUACAAACCCCCAUAACCACUAACUACGACCUGUCAUGCCCAAUCUUCUAAACAUAGAAAUUAUUUGAAGCACAGUGCAAGCUAUGUGUAUUCAUACAUACAUACAUACAUUCAACUACAAAGACCCAUUCCCAAUCCAAUAGGGAAACAUCUUUCAAGCAAGAUGAAUUGAUGAAGAAAGAGCAAAAUCUACUUGUAGAAAUCAACCUAAAAACCAAAAACCACCAGUUAUGAAUCCCACCAUAGACUAUAAUUCCGUAACUGAUUGCAUUUACAUGCUUAAGGGUUUCAUUUUUUUAGAUGAAGGAUGCAACCAACAAUUACUGAUCUACCAAACCUAAAAGCAUCAUCACUUUAAUUUCACCAUUGCAAUUUAAGGACCCAAACCCUUAAAACCCACAUGUUGUGGAAAUAUAUUUAAGAGAAAAGAUGUGGGAGUAUACAUGAAGGGACCUACCUCCCUUUCUCUCUCUUUCUCUGUCACGAGUGGUUGAUGGUAAAAUGUUAGCUUUCUCAUUAUCUUCCAUGUAGGCACUGGUCAUUUUUGUACGUCACUUUAUUUAACUGCUAUUUCUUAUUGAGAAAGCCAGUUGGUAUGUAGAAAAAUUUCAUAUGUUUUUCCACUUCAAUAACUUGUGGGGCUUGUCAUCUUUUUGUACACUCUAUUAUUUACAUUCCUUUUAAUGGGUAAGUAACAUUAUUUACAUCCUGUUUCAGAUUCAGAGAGCCUAUUGGUUAUAAAGAUGAAGUUCAUAUGUUUCAUCCACUUUAUAAACUUGCACUACUGCACUACUUGUAUGGAAUCAAUACACUUGUUUUCUGCAAUUUUAAUUCUUGUAUUUCUGUUUUUAUAGGUUUAUGGUUCUAACAUGGCUUCCCUAUGAUCCUUGCGUGCUUUAUACACUGAGCUGUCGUGAUGAGAGUUGGAUCAGGACUGCAAAUCAUCUUUGACAAAUACCCCUUCUAUUAGAGUCAGAGGAUGUAAAAGAUGUUAAUCAAAUUCUAUCCGUCCUAUUUAUGUCAGUCUGUACCAAUUUCAGUGUGUUUAUUAAGCCAGUUGCUGAAGCCCAAGGGAAGGACGGGCAUGUUCAUUCAAGCGAAAGGAAGAGGAAAAGGCUUACUACCCAGGACCAGUUAUUAAUGCAAUUACGGGAGACAGAAUUGCAUAAGCGAGUCAGCAAAUGGAUGGAUUCUAUGAAUUCUGAUAGCGGAUUUGUGACAAGUUCUGGCAAUCAGCAUGCUUAGCUUGAGAUUGCAGCAAAUGUGGCUUCUUAUGGGGGCAAGCAUUCAACAUUGAACCCUGGUUCUUCUGGUCGAUUAUACUCUACAGAUUCAGCGGGUUCUUCAAAAGGCAAUUAUGAAAGUGUCUCUGUUGAAAUGAGUGAGCCAGUUACCUGCAGCAGGGAGCAAGGGCCUGGUAAAAUUAUCCAAACUAUUGAUCCAAGUAUGAGUGGCUGCAGUGUAAACAAUGGCCAUUUAAUUGUCAAUGAUGCUCUAACAAUGUUGUUGUUGGCCCUGCCCUCUCAUAUGUGGUCUGGAAUUAAGGAAUCAAACCUAUCUGCAGAGUUUAACAGCCUUGUAUCAAUUGAGAGUGUUCCUCACAUACUCAAGAAAGAGCUAGUCGCAUAAUCAGGUAGUUGAUAUCAGGAGGUAUAAUCUAGAGGCCAAUACUUCAUCUUAUCAUUGCAACUCAUACCCCUUGACUCCGUUGAUUCAUCCUUGGCAGUUGGGUUUUACUGCAGGGACAAAGUUAUGCAUGCUGGCUGGCUGUUCUUGAUUAAAUUCCAUACAUUUAUUUUAUUAUUGCUCAAGGAUUGAAGCUUUUUUUGACCAUGACAUUCUUCUUUUUUUCUUUUUCUUUUUUUUUUUUCUUUUUUUUCCCUGUUUGACAGAUGAUUUUGAUGAUUUUUGUAACCGUGCUUCCAAGCUAGCUGAUGAAUCAAAGGGUGUUCCAUUCGCCAAGGGCAGCCAAUCACUAUGACAUGCUAAGUGACACUAGUCGGAAUCAACAGGACGAGUCUUUUGACAUUGUGCACGGUAAUAAUUCAGAGGGCGGAAUACAAGAAGAUGACUGUGAUUGGCAACUCCUUUGACUGAGAUGGUUUGUAUUCCGCAUCUGAAACUAAAAGUUGCGGUUUUGGGUUGGAAUCUAGCAAUCAAUGCACUCUCAACCUGUACACAACUCCACAACGCCUCUCUCAUUAGCAGAACCACAAUCUCAAUUGGGUUCACGUUUGUUUGUUAUUUUAUCCAAAUUGUUGGAUUAUUAAAUGUGUAGAAUAAAUUAUUCAACCUAUUCAUAUGAUUUACCGUACACGGAUGUUGUAAUUUAAAAUGCAGCUAUUUAACUUAUUGUUUCACAAUUCUAAACCAUUUAAGUGCUGAUUAUUUGAUUGAAAGUUUUA